CGUGAGCGGCGGACGGGUGAGUAACGCGUGGGUAACCUGCCUCAUACAGGGGGAUAACAGUUGGAAACGGCUGCUAAUACCGCAUAAGCGCACAGUACCGCAAGGUACGGUGUGAAAAACUCCGGUGGUAUGAGAUGGACCCGCGUCUGAUUAGGUAGUUGGUGGGGUAACGGCCUACCAAGCCGACGAUCAGUAGCCGACCUGAGAGGGUGACCGGCCACAUUGGGACUGAGACACGGCCCAG
rnacentral:rRNA from 1 species